rnacentral:rRNA from 1 species
UACGGUAGGGGGCUAGCGUUGUCCGGAAUCAUUGGGCGUAAAGCGCGUGUAGGCGGUCCGGUAAGUCCGCUGUGAAAGUCGGGGGCUCAACCCUCGAAUGCCGGUGGAUACUGUCGGGCUAGAGUGCGGAAGAGGCGAGUGGAAGUUCCUGGGUGUAGCGGUGGAAUGCGCAGAUAUCAGGAGGAACACCAAUAGCGAAGGCAGCUCGCUGGGACGUUACUGACACUGAGGCGCGAAAGCGUGGGGGAGCGAACAGG